rnacentral:rRNA from 1 species
CCUACGGGUGGCAGCAGUGAGGAAUAUUGGUCAAUGGGCGAGAGCCUGAACCAGCCAAGUCGCGUGAGGGAGUACUGCCCUAUGGGUUGUAAACCUCUUUUGUCGGGGAGCAAAAGCCGGACGUGUCCGGCUGUGAGAGUACCCGAAGAAAAAGCAUCGGCUAACUCAGGGCCAGCAGCCGCGGUAAUAAGGAGGAUGCGGGCGUUAUCCGGAUUUAUUGGUGUGAAAGGGUGCGCAGGCGGAUUUUUAAGUCUGCGGUAAAAUCGUGGGGCUCAACCCCAUCCAGCCGUUGAAAGUGGGGAUCUAGAUUGUUCGAGAGGUAUGCGGAAUGCGUGGUGUAGCGGUGAAAUGCAUAGAUAUCACGCAGAACCCCGCUUGCGAAGGCAGCAUACCGGUGCACAACUGACGCUCAGGCACGAAAGCGUGGGUAUCGAACAGGAUUAGAUACCCGUGUAGUC